rnacentral:rRNA from 1 species
UACGUAGGGUGCGAGCGUUAAUCGGAAUUACUGGGCGUAAAGCGUGCGCAGGCGGUUCUGCAAGUCAGAUGUGAAAUCCCCCGGGCUUAACCUGGGAACUGCGUUUUGAAACUACGGAGCUAGAGUGCGGCAGAGGGGGGGUGGAAUUCCACGUGUAGCAGUGAAAUGCGUAGAUAUGUGGAGGAACACCGAUGGCGAAGGCAGCCCCCCUGGGCCGACACUGACGCUCAGGCACGAAAAGCGUGGGGGAGCAAACAGG